rnacentral:lncRNA from 1 species
CAGUGUUACUUGUCAAUUAGGUAAAUGGUGAUAAGCCUUUCAACUGCAUCACUUGUACAGGAUCCAUGCUGACUGCUUAAGUAACGUGUAUUACGUGUCAACAGUAUGUUCACACGAGCCCCCCCGCCGGUGCAACUGCUCCCUGAAGUCAUCGUGGGAUACUGUGAUGAUGUCAUAAGCCCCUCCGUUUACCGAUGAUCAUGUGCUUCCAAUAUUGAGGUUGUUGUGCACAUACUCUUAAAGGCUAAGUUGGUCAUUUCAUGAGCUCCUUGUGUUUCUCAGAAACUUCUCCUACCAGCUUCGGUCCAGAAAUACUUCUUAAAUUAUGUGCCCAUCUUCAUGGAAGAAUAUAUAUUCACUCCCUUCUACCUAUCAAUUAAUAGCAAGGAACACAGAGCACGAGAAUAAAUAUACGAACCAGCACCUUAUUAAUGAAGAGAAAGUACAGCAUGGAAGGAGAAAGAAGAGAGGGAAAUAUGGUGGUUGAUGAAGAAGAAGAGAAGAUCAACGCUUUUUACACUUUGGUUAGAAAUAUAAGAGAUGUCCAUAAUCAAAUGUUGAGUGGUUCCAAAGGGAAAGGGAAAGCGGAGGAAAAAGAAAUGAAACCAACUUGGACCCCAUCUUUCACCUGGGAAGAUUUUGCCGAGGAGGAUCAUCAUGAGCAAUUCAGAGG